CAAGCCUUCUCAGUGCAUCCACUUGAGAGCUAACAAACGCAUAGACUAUUUAUACACAGAUACUAAUUGGAAUUUAAAAAGCCACAGGUUUGGGAAAUGAACCUUUAAUUGCCAUUUUAACCUGUGUGUGUCACCUUGUGUUUCUGUAACAAGACCAAACACUCAAGAGUAUGUAAACUUUUGAUCGGGGCCAUUAGGGUGAUUUUUGCUAUCAUUAUGAUUUGAAAAGGAGCCAAACAACUAUGUGAUAAUAAAUGGCUUCAUAUGAUCAAUAUCCUUCAAAAAAAUUUAAUUUUUGCAUCAUCAGUUAUAUUUAAAAAAAAAAUUCACAAUUUCUGCCAGGGUAUGCAAACUUUUGAGGACAACUGUAUAUGUAGUUGGCUCCCCUUUUAAGGCUAUACCAGCUUCCACUCAUCAGAGAAGGCUGUCCAUUAGAAUUUGUAGUAUUUCUGUAGGUAUUAUUGCCUAUUCAUCCAGUAGAGCAUUUGUGAGGUCAGG